rnacentral:tRNA from 1 species
GGUGGGGUAGCGAAGUGGCUAAACGCGGUGGACUGUAAAUCCACUCUCUCCGAGUUCGACAGUUCGAAUCUGUCCCCCACCACCA